AUUACUUAAUUAAAUUUCAACAAACUGAAAACUAAAAAUAGGUCUUAGGUACUGAAGUAGGUAUUCGGUACAAAUGUCAUUGUUAAUAAUUAUUCAGAAUUGACUUCACAUUAUAAGGGCUUUCUUCAAAAAGAGGUUUUUAUUUCGACAUCUUCGAUUUAUACAGGAAUAAGAAGUCCAACAUUACAAAAACAUCCAAGCUCUGAGAGGUAAAUCAAUAAUAA